UGGGGAAUUUUGGACAAUGGGCGAAAGCCUGAUCCAGCAAUGCCGCGUGCAGGAUGAAGGCCCUCGGGUUGUAAACUGCUUUUGUACGGAACGAAAAGCCUGGGGCUAAUACCCCCGGGUCAUGACGGUACCGUAAGAAUAAGCACCGGCUAACUACGUGCCAGCAGCCGCGGUAAUACGUAGGGUGCAAGCGUUAAUCGGAAUUACUGGGCGUAAAGCGUGCGCAGGCGGUUUUGUAAGCCAGUGGUGAAAUCCCCGGGCUCAACCUGGGAACUGCCAUUGUGACUGCAAAGCUAGAGUGCGGCAGAGGGGGAUGGAAGUCCGCGUGUAGCAGUGAAAUGCGUAGAUAUGCGGAGGAACACCGAUGGCGAAGGCAAUCCCCUGGGCCUGCACUGACGCUCAUGCACGAAAGCGUGGGGAGCAAACA
rnacentral:rRNA from 1 species